rnacentral:rRNA from 1 species
AUGAGCUUCGGCGGCGCCAGCUCCGUCGCGGCCGGUGGGAAGCGGCCGUUCGAGUACGGGAGGACGCAUGUGGUGAGGCCCAAGGGCGCGCACAAGGCCACCAUCGUCUGGCUCCACGGCCUCGGCGACAAUGGAGCCAGCUGGUCUCAACUGUUGGAAACUCUUCCCCUUCCUAAUAUAAAAUGGAUCUGCCCAACUGCACCUACGAGGCCUGUGGCAAUUUUUGGUGGAUUCCCAUCUACUGCAUGGUUUGAUGUUGCUGAUCUUUCAGAAGAUUCUCCUGAUGAUGUUGAGGGGCUGGAUUCCUCAGCUGCACAUGUUGCAAAUUUAUUGUCUACCGAACCUGCAGAUAUCAAGCUUGGCGUUGGUGGCUUUAGUAUGGGUGCUGCUACUGCGCUUUACUCCGGUACUUGCUUUGCUCAUGGAAAAUAUGGAAAUGGCAAUCCUUACCCUGUGAACCUAAGUGUGGCUGUUGGUCUCAGUGGCUGGCUCCCAUGCGCCAGGUCAUUGAAGAACAAAAUUGAGAGCUCACAGGAGGCUGCACAGAAGGCUUCAUCAUUACCUCUUAUGCUUUGUCAUGGAAAAGCUGAUGAUGUGGUCCUCUACAAACAUGGAGAGAGGUCUGCUGAUGCACUUAAGUCAACCGGGUUUGCAAAUGUGGAAUUCAAGUCCUACAACUCGGGCACUAUACCGUUCCAGAGGAGAUGGACGAAGUCGUCAAGUGGCUUACGGCAAGCUUGGAACUCGGCAGUUCCACGUCAACUUGAUCGAAUGAAGAGAUGCCUUGAGAAAGGCUCGGUGUAG